GACGAACGCUGGCGGCGUGCUUAACACAUGCAAGUCGAACGGAAAGGCCCUGCUUUUGUGGGGUGCUCGAGUGGCGAACGGGUGAGUAACACGUGAGUAACCUGCCCUUGACUUUGGGAUAACUUCAGGAAACUGGGGCUAAUACCGGAUAGGAGCUCCUGCUGCAUGGUGGGGGUUGGAAAGUUUCGGCGGUUGGGGAUGGACUCGCGGCUUAUCAGCUUGUUGGUGGGGUAGUGGCUUACCAAGGCUUUGACGGGUAGCCGGCCUGAGAGGGUGACCGGCCACAUUGGGACUGAGAUACGGCCCAGACUCCUACGGGAGGCUGCAGUGGGGAAUAUUGCACAAUGGGCGGAAGCCUGAUGCAGCAACGCCGCGUGCGGGAUGACGGCCUUCGGGUUGUAAACCGCUUUCGCCUGUGACGAAGCGUGAGUGACGGUAAUGGGUAAAGAAGCACCGGCUAACUACGUA
rnacentral:rRNA from 1 species